GUUGGGCUCCACCAGUAGAAGUGCCUUGUCACCUUUAUAUUUGGCUUCUCUUCUUAUCAAGUAAUUCUCACAGAGGCAUUUCGUUAGACUUGUCAACAUUUUCACCACGCCUAAAUGGACUGCAACCUAAUUCAGUCCUCAUUUUUCUAGUUCUUCGUUCUGAUUGGUCGGGGGAACAUACCAUACUUUGACACAUUUCACCUUCGAUGAGAUAGGGUUGGCAUGUGACUCUGUAUUAUCUCAU